rnacentral:rRNA from 1 species
GACAGAGGGUGCAAGCGUUGUUCGGAAUCAUUGGGCGUAAAGCGCACGUAGGCGGUCAUGUAAGUCGGAUGUGAAAGCCCAGGGCUUAACCCUGGAAGUGCAUCCGAUACUGCAUGACUUGAGUCCCGGAGAGGGUGGUGGAAUUCCUGGUGUAGAGGUGAAAUUCGUAGAUAUCAGGAGGAACACCGGUGGCGAAGGCGACCACCUGGACGGAGACUGACGCUGAGGUGCGAAAGCGUGGGGAGCAAACAGG